rnacentral:lncRNA from 1 species
UGUCAGAACUCAAAGAUAGAAACUCAAACAAGCAGCUUCCUUUUAAUGUUCUAUAACACCUGUAUGAGAAGAGUACAGAUGAAUGUAUUUCAUGGAUUUUGAUGUUCUUUAUCUGAGAAGGUGCAGAGAACCAAAAAGUCUACCACAAAAAAAUCUGGUAAAGGCUGCAAAGUUGAACAUAUGGAAGUCAAAGGAAACAG